GACGAACGCUGGCGGCGCGCCUAACACAUGCAAGUCGAGCGGAGAUACUUGAAGGAAGUUUUCGGAUGGAAUUUGAGUAUUUUAGCGGCGGACGGGUGAGUAACGCGUGAGUGACCUGCCUUCCACAGGGGGAUAACGUACCGAAAGGUACACUAAUACCGCAUGAGACCACAGCACUGCCUGGUGCAGGGGUCAAAGGAGCAAUCCGGUGGAAGAUGGACUCGCGUCCGAUUAGAUAGUUGGCGGGGUAACGGCCUACCAAGGCAGCGAUCGGUAGCCGACCUGAGAGGGUGAUCGGCCACAUUGGAACUGAGAGACGGUCCAAACUCCUACGGGAGGCAGCAGUGGGGAAUAUUGGGCAAUGGGGGAAACCCUGACCCAGCGACGCCGCGUGAGGGAAGAAGGUUUUCGGAUUGUAAACCUCUGUUCUUGGUGAAGAGGGAAAGACGGUAGCCAAGGAGGAAGCCCCGGCUAACUACGUGCCAGCCGCCGCUGUAA
rnacentral:rRNA from 1 species